ensembl:lncRNA
UCUGCAGGUCGAGAGCGGGUCCUGCUCCAGUCUGUAUGUGAGAUUUAACUGUUAUCUGAGGCGAGUCUCCUGGAUGUGAUGGAUUCGUGUGAAGAGUCGGUCAGUGGCGGCGGGUCUUUUAUCCUGGACUAUAAAUGGAACAAAAGCAGAGGUUUGUGCGUAAUAAUGAAGGAAGAGGAGGUUAUUUUUGAGAGAGUGUUUAUAAGGGUGUGUGUUUCUGUUCUUCACACACUCCAGCUGGGGUGUAGAGCAGAGGCCGGCGGACGAUGGAGCGUGGGAGAGUGUGUGUGAUGAUCCUGGUGUUCUCAGAGUGUGUGUGGGGGGCUCAGAGCGACCCGUGUUCAGGCAGAGGACCGGUGGUUAAGGAGGUGGAGAAAGAUGUACUGAGCUGCUCAGUUCCAAACCAAGAAGCGAAGUAUUCUGCAAUUGGUUGCCGCUCCAUUCACAGUAAGAAGGGAACAAGCUGCUACCUGAUAUAUGAGGACGGAACAGAGUGUGAGGAACAACUGAACUUCAAUGGUACGCAGGAAGUGCUGGAGUGUGAGAUUGAGAACCGACUGACUCCAUUCCAUGUGAGGGUAAAGAGGAAGUCCACCUCUACAGCUAAAGAACCUUCAGGCUCUGACAAAAACAAAAUUAGAAGCUCCAACACAUCAAGCAAAACUUCACCCAGCGGAACUUCACCCAGCAAAACUUCACCCAGCAAAACUUCACCCAGCAAAACUUCACCCAGCGGAACUUCACCCAGCAAAACUUCACCCAGCAAAACUUCACCCAGCGGAACUUCACCCAGCAAAACUUCACCCAGCAAAACUUCACCCAGCAAAACUUCACCCAGCGGAACUUCACCCAGCGGAACUUCACCCAGCGAAACUUCACCCAGUGAUACUUUGCAGGGCAUGUAACACACCAAUACACUCCAACACACUCACAAUGUCUCCCAUUUAAAAUCAGAUCAAUUCACUACAGUGACCAGUCAUGCCUAAUCACUUAAUUACCAAGUAAAAACAGGUAAAUUACUACUGAACUGUUCACUAAUUAACUAUACAUCAGAUUCUAGAACUCUCUACUUGCUCCUAAGUGAACAAAACAGCAAUAAUUCACUUUAAACAGGAAAACUGAACAGACUGCCACUCAGAACCUCCCACCCUAAUUGGAGCACCAGAGCUUCCUGCUUUCCACGUCUAUACAGUAAACAUGGACAUUAAAGAGAACAGACCUGUAAUUCCAGUAUCUGUAAAGGGCUUUUCUGUAGUGUCAGUCUCUAGUGCUUUUCUAGGAAUUCUAGGAACUGCCAGGUAGUGCCAGGGCUCUGGAUGGUGGGAGUACUAGUCUUUAGGACUCCUGUUCUUGGUAGUGCAAAUAUUUCUCCAGCGCCUCCCGUUAAACAUUAAAUCACUGCUCUUCUAAUGAUCUGUAAACAACAAAGCUGGACCUUCAACUGCUCAACAUUUUCCUACAACAGGAAAAAUCAUCAAACAGGAAUUUUUCAAAAUCUGUGUGUGUGUGUGUGUGUGUGUGUGUGUGUGUGUGUGUUUGUGUAUGUGUGUUUCCGUAGGCCUGCAAAUUGUUUACUUCAAUGUGUGUUGCCCACUCACACACACACUCACACACACACACACACACACACAAACACUUCCUUCCACUUUAUCUAUCUGGAAUUCCAGACCAGUAUUCCUGUGUGUGUGAGAGGAGUGGUCAGUUCUGGAUUAUAUCUGCUGUUACUUUCACUCCUUCUCACACUGCUGGUUCUGCAGCUGCGUUGAUAGUUAAGUGGUGUAGCUGGUGGUGUAGCUUGGUGGUGUAAGUGGGUGGUGUAGCUGGGUGGUGUAGUUGGGUCGAAUUGGUGUGAGGUGUAGCUGGUGGUAUAGUUGGCUAGUGUAGCUGGUGGUGUAGCUGAUGGUG